rnacentral:rRNA from 1 species
UACGUAGGCAGCGAGCGUUGUUCGGAAUUACUGGGCGUAAAGAGUGUGUAGGCGGUGUUCCAAGUUCGGUGUGAAAUCUCCCGGCUUAACUGGGAGGGUGCGCCGAAAACUGGAAUGCUCGAGCGUGGGAGAGGGAUGCGGAAUUCCAGGUGUAGCGGUGAAAUGCGUAGAUAUCUGGAGGAACACCGGUGGCGAAGGCGGCAUCCUGGACCGGCAUUGACGCUGAGGCGCGAAAGCCAGGGGAGCAAACGGG